AGCGUCUGGCGCUUGGGGUCACUGCCCUCAAGGAGGCACCUGGAGGGGGGGAUGGCGUCCACUCCGAUGGGGAAUGAGGGGGAGAAGAAGAGCAGCUGGCCAUCUCAAGCUGCACCCUCCUUGAGAGGAGGUCCGGCUUCGUUAUCUCGUUCUGAGGAAUACCUGUCCCAGAUCAGUGCAGAACUCAUGGAGGAGGCUUUGUGCACUGCUUGCUGCCACUUGAACCCUGUGCCCAUCAAAAAAAAGCAGUCACAAGACCAAGCGACUCAGAUAUCCAAACGCGCAUUCUUCACCAAGACCUGAGGCACAGACACCUGGUGAGUGAGGCUUCAAGGGAGAUGCUCUUUGUCCUGGGAGAGAGAAACCGUACCUGCAGCAAGGCAUACCUCCUGCCAACUCCUGGUGAAAAGAACAUGCCUCAAAACUACUCUUUUGCCACUCGUUAACCACUUCCGUUUGUGGGGACCUCCUGGUCAUGAGCAGCAUCAUCCCGAAGCCUUCAAAGUGUUCUGGAUUCAUCACAGGACCCUCCAGCCUCAGCCAGCAAGGAUACCACCAGGAAUGAAAGUGCUUUAAUAAAGA
rnacentral:lncRNA from 1 species